rnacentral:rRNA from 1 species
UACGAGAGGCCCAAACGUUAUUCGGAUUUACUGGGCUUAAAGAGUUCGUAGGCGGUCCAUCAAGUGGGGUGUGAAAUCCCUCGGCUCAACCGAGGAAUUGCGCUCCAAACUGUUGGGCUCGAGGGAGAUAGAGGUGAGCGGAACUGAUGGUGGAGCGGUGAAAUGCGUUGAUAUCAUCAGGAACUCCAGAGGCGAAGGCGGCUCACUGGGUCUCUUCUGACGCUGAGGAACGAAAGCUAGGGGAGCAAACGGG